rnacentral:rRNA from 1 species
AUUGAACGCUGGCGGCAUGCCUUACACAUGCAAGUCGAACGGUAACGCGGGGCAACCUGGCGACGAGUGGCGAACGGGUGAGUAAAGCAUCGGAACGUGCCCAGUAGUGGGGGAUAGCCCGGCGAAAGCCGGAUUAAUACCGCAUACGACCUAUGGGGGAAAGGGGGGGAUCGCAAGACCCCUCGCUAUUGGAGCGGCCGAUGUCAAAUUAGGUAGUUGGUGGGGUAAAGGCCUACCAAGCCGACGAUCUGGGGCUGGUCUGAGAUGGACGACCAGCCACACUGGGACUGAGACACGGCCCAGACUCCUACGGGAGGCAGCAGUGGGGAAUUUUGGACAAUGGGCGCAAGCCUGAUCCAGCCAUGCCGCGUGCGGGAAGAAGGCCUUCGGGUUGUAAACCGCUUUUGUCAGGGAAGAAAUCCUUUGGGUUAAUACCUCGGGGGGAUGACGGUACCUGAAGAAUAAGCACCGGCUAACUACGUGCCAGCCGCCGCAGUAA